rnacentral:lncRNA from 1 species
GUUGAUAUUCUCUGUGGUUUUCUUAGGUUUUUUUUCUUUGAGUUCUAUACUCUUCUUUUUUGUGUUCAAUAUCUGUAAUCUUUUUGUGAGAUGUUCUUGGUUGUAUUUAGUGUACCAUUUGAGAGAUUGUGAGGACUAUACUUUGUUGUAAGAGGCAAGAAAAAACUUAAAUUUGUCCAUAUUCUUAAUUGAUUCUAGUGGAUCUAGAGCUAUAUCUAUUUAUAGAUGUUCAAUGUGGUGA